rnacentral:rRNA from 1 species
AGUGAACGCUGGCGGUAGGCCUAACACAUGCAAGUCGAACGGCAGCACAGUAAGCGCUCGCCCUUACGGGUGGCGAGUGGCGGACGGGUGAGGAAUACAUCGGAAUCUACUUUUUCGUGGGGGAUAACGUAGGGAAACUUACGCUAAUACCGCAUACGACCUACGGGUGAAAGCAGGGGAUCUUCGGACCUUGCGCGAUUGAAUGAGCCGAUGUCGGAUUAGCUAGUUGGCGAGGUAAAGGCCCACCAAGGCGACGAUCCGUAGCUGGUCUGAGAGGAUGAUCAGCCACACUGGAACUGAGACACGGUCCAGACUCCUACGGGAGGCAGCAGUGGGGAAUAUUGGACAAUGGGCGCAAGCCUGAUCCAGCCAUACCGCGUGGGUGAAGAAGGCCUUCGGGUUGUAAAGCCCUUUUGUUGGGAAAGAAAAGCAGCAUGUUAAUACCCCGCUGUUCUGACGGUACCCAAAGAAUAAGCACCGGCUAACUUCGUG